rnacentral:rRNA from 1 species
CCUAUCAGAGGGGGAUAACCCGGCGAAAGUCGGACUAAUACCGCAUGAAGCAGGGGCCCCGCAUGGGGAUAUUUGCUAAAGAUUCAUCGCUGAUAGAUAGGCAUGCGUUCCAUUAGGCAGUUGGCGGGGUAACGGCCCACCAAGCCGACGAUGGAUAGGGGUUCUGAGAGGAAGGUCCCCCACAUUGGUACUGAGACACGGACCAAACUCCUACGGGAGGCAGCAGUGAGGAAUAUUGGUCAAUGGCCGAGAGGCUGAACCAGCCAAGUCGCGUGAGGGAUGAAGGUUCUAUGGAUCGUAAACCUCUUUUAUAAGGGAAUAAAGUGCGGGACGUGUCCCGUUUUGUAUGUACCUUAUGAAUAAGGAUCGGCUAACUCCGUGCCAGCAGCCGCGGUAAUACGGAGGAUCCGAGCGUUAUCCGGAUUUAUUGGGUUUAAAGGGUGCGUAGGCGGCCUUUUAAGUCAGCGGUGAAAGUCUGUGGCUCAACCAUAGAAUUGCCGUUGAAACUGGGGGGCUUGAGUAUGUUUGAGGCAGGCGGAAUGCGUGGUGUAGCGGUGAAAUGCAUAGAUAUCACGCGGAACCCCGAUUGCGAAGGCAGCCUGCCAAGCCAUGACUGACGCUGAUGCACGAAAGCGUGGGGAUCAAACAGGAUUAGAUACCCUGGUAGUCCACGCAGUAAACGAUGAUCACUAGCUGUUUGCGAUACACUGUAAGCGGCA